GGGUGUAAUCAUACCAACACUAAAGCACCGGAUCCGAUCAGAACUCUUAAGUUAAGCGUGUUUGGGUGUGAGUAGUACUAGGAUGGGUGACCCCCUGGGAAGUCCUCAUGUUGCACCCGUUU
rnacentral:rRNA from 1 species